GACGGCCGGAUGGUCGCCUUUUCGGGAGCCGCGUGAGCGGCGCUUCGAGGGGGAGGAAAGUCCGGGCUCCAUGGGAACGCGGUGCCGGGUAAUUCCCGGCGAGGGCGACCUCAGGGAAAGUGCCACAGAAAGCAAACCGCUCGCGCGUGCCUUCGGGCCCCGCGGGCAAGGGUGAAAGGGUGCGGUAAGAGCGCACCGCGCCGCCGGCAACGGCGGUGGCAGGGCAAACCCCACCGGGAGCGAGACCAAGUAGGAGCGGCGCGCCCCGAAAGCCGGCCUCGGCCGCGCGAUCGGGGCCGGCUGGGUUCCCACGGCCGCCGCUCGGGUCGGUCGCGAGAGGCGCCCGGAGACGGGCGUCCCAGAUGAAUGGCCAUCCCCUGCCUCGGGGCAGGGACAGAACCCGGCUUACAGGCCGUCUG
rnacentral:RNase_P_RNA from 1 species